rnacentral:Y_RNA from 1 species
GGCUGUUCGAGUACAGUGGUGUUUACAACUAAUUGAUCACAACCACUUACAGAUUCCUUUGUUCCUCCUCCACUCCCACUGCUUCACUUGACUAGCCUUAA